GUCCAAGUUAAUAAGGGCGCAUGGUGGAUGCCUUGGCUUCUGGAGGCGAUGAAGGGCGUGGUAGGCUGCGCAAAGCGUCGGAUAGGUGCGAACAACCUUUGAUCCGGCGAUUCCCGAAUGGGGAAACCCAUCCUGAAGAAAUUCAGGAUAUUCCGUCGCGAGACGGAAAGCUAACCAAGGGAAGUGAAACAUCUCAGUACCUUGAGGAAAAUAUAUUCCGAAAGUAGCGGCGAGCGAAAUCGGAACAGCCUAAACCGAUCUGCAUGUUCAAGCGAGCAAGCCUUGUGCAGGCGGUGUAGCGGGGUUCAGUCGAAUCCAAAUUGCUCUGCGGGUUGUGAAGUUACAAAAUCUUGGGGUAAUCGAAAUUUCCUGGAAAGGAAUACCAUAGAUGGUGAUAGUCCAGUAGAUGAAACUCUAAGAUCUUCAUUGACUGAAAUCCCAAGUACUGCGAAGUAGUUACUUCGUGGGAAUCUGCCCAAACCACUGGGUAAGGCUAAAUACUCCCAGAUGACCGAUAGCGAACAAGUACCGUGAGGGAAAGGUGAAAAGAACCCCUGGCGGGGAGUGAAAUAGAACCUGAAACUGUGCGUCUACAAUCAGCAGGAAUAUUGAUCUCUUGGAAGCAAUUCCGAGAGGCCAUCGAUAUGACUGCGUGCUUUUUGCAUAAUGAUCCGGCGAGUUACCCUGACCUGCAAGCCUAAUUCUUCUACGAAAGUAGCGGAAGCAAGCGUAGGGAAACCGAGUCUGAAUAGGGCGACUUAGUAGGUUGGGAUAUUACCCGAAACCCGGUGAGCUACCCAUGGUCAGGAUGAAAUUUCGGUGACACGAAAUGAAGGUCCGAACCGGUGGAUGUUGAAAUAUCCUCGGAUGAACUGUGGGUAGGAGUGAAAGGCUAACCAAACCGGGUAAUAGCUGGUUCUCCCCGAAAUGUCUCUAGGGGCAGUCUUGGACGUUCAGUAGUAGUGGUAGAGCACUGAAUAGAGGAGGACCCUUCGGGGUUCAAAUCUAACCAAACUCCAAAUGCUACUACUUCAAAAGUCCAGGAAUUAGGCAGUGGGGGAUAAGCUCCAUUGCCAAAAGGGGAAUAACCCAGAUCGUCAGCUAAGGUCCCCAAGAAUUGAUUAAGUGGGAAAGGAUGUGAGGUGACUUAAACAACUGGGAUGUUGGCUUAGAGGCAGCCAUCAUUCAAAGAGUGCGUAACAGCUCACCAGCCGAGUCGCUUUGCGCCUAAAAUAUAUCGGGGCUCAAAUCAAUCACCGAAGCUGCGACUCUCCGUCUUUGACGGAGGGGGUAGGGGAGCGUUCCAUUGUAGGUUGAAGUUGCGACGUGAGUUGUGAUCGACGAACUGGAAGUGAUUAUGCCGGAAUGAGUAGCGAUAAUCUCGGUGAAAAACCGGGACACCGUAAGCCCAAGGCUUCCUGGGGAAGGUUAAUCCGCCCAGGGUUAGUCGGUGCCUUAGCUGAGGCCGAAAGGCGUAGGCGAUGGGAAAGCCGUUAAUAUUCGGCUACCGUCUUAGUUUCGUUAUGAACUAUGGGGGGACGCUGACAGUAAAGGUGGGUCCUGUGUUGGAAUACAGGAUCUAAGCGCAUCAAGGGAGAUGCCAGGCAAAUCCAGUAUCUCUUAACCUUGGUGUGCGAUGGGGAGACCCAAAAGGUCAUAAACCCACCUCGAGAGUCAGCCGAGAAAAGCCUCUAUGUCAGAAACUAAGGUGACCGUACCGGAAACGGACACACGUGGGCGAGGUGAAUAUCCUAAGGUGCUCGGGUGAAUCCUCGUUAAGGAACUCGGCAAUCUAACCCCGUACCCUCGGUAGAAGGGGUUCCCGCUGUGAUGAACAGCGGGACGCAGUGAAAGGGCUCUAGCGACUGUUUAACAAAAACACAGGUCUCUGCUAAGCCGAAAGGCCAUGUAUAGGGACUGACACCUGCCCGGUGCCAGAAGGUUAUGGAAGGAGGUCAAUUCCGGCAUAGACUUCGGUUUAGGCCGGAAGGUAGCUUUCGACCGAAGCCCUGGUAAACGGCGGCCGUAACUCUAACGGUCCUAAGGUAGCGAAAUUCCUUGGCGGGUAAGUUCCGUCCUGCACGAAUGGUGUAACGACUAGAGCGCUGUCUCAACGAGGAGCCCGGCGAAAUUGUAGUGGCGGUGAAGAUGCCGCCUACCCGUGAUAGGACAAAAAGACCCCGUGAACCUUUACUGUAGCUUGCUAUUGGAUUUUUGCUGAACAUGUGUAGCAUAGGUGGGAGGCUUUGAAGUCCCGGCGUCAGCUGGGAUGGAGCCACCAGUGAAAUACCACCCUUGUUUUGUCGAGAGUUCUAACCCCGUCCCUUGAAUCAGGGCGCGGGACAGUGGCAGGUGGGCAGUUUGACUGGGGCGGUCGCCUCCUAAAAUGUAACGGAGGCGCCCAAAGGUUCCCUCAGCCCGGUCGGUAAUCGGGCAUUGAGCGUAAGGACAUAAGGGAGCCUGACUGUGAGGCCGACAGGCCGAACAGAGCGGAAACGCGGGCCUAGUGAUCCGGUGGAUCUGUGUGGAAAGGCCAUCGCUCAGCGGAUAAAAGGUACUCCGGGGAUAACAGGCUGAUCGGGCUCGAGAGUUCAUAUCGACGGCCCGGUUUGGCACCUCGAUGUCGGCUCAUCGCAUCCUGGGGCUGGACAAGGUCCCAAGGGUUGGUCUGUUCGCCCAUUAAAGCGGUACGUGAGCUGGGUUCAGAACGUCGUGAGACAGUUCGGACUCUAUCCAUCACGGGCGUAGGAGACUUGAGAGGAGCUGUCCUUAGUACGAGAGGACCAGGAUGGACGGACCUCUGGUUUACGAGUUGUUGCGCCAGCAGCAGCGCUCGGUAGCUAUGUCCGGAAGGGAUAACCGCUGAAAGCAUCUAAGUGGGAAGCCCCCCUCAAGAUAAGGUCUCCCGUUCGUAUCCACUUCGGUGGAAAUGACCUAAAGACUACCUGAAGAUGACAGGUUUGAUAGGCCACAGGUGUAAGUACAGCAAUGUAUUGAGCCGAGUGGUACUAAUAAGUCGUGUGACUUGGACUU
rnacentral:rRNA from 1 species